UACGUAGGGGGCAAGCGUUGUCCGGAUUUAUUGGGCGUAAAGAGCGUGUAGGCGGCUUUACAGGUCCGUUGUGAAAACUCGAGGCUCAACCUCGAGACGCCGGUGGAAACCGUAAGGCUAGAGUCCGGAAGAGGAGAGUGGAAUUCCUAGUGUAGAGGUGAAAUUCGUAGAUAUUAGGAAGAACACCAGUGGCGAAGGCGGCUCACUGGUCCGGUACUGACGCUGAGGUGCGAAAGCGUGGGGAGCAAACAGG
rnacentral:rRNA from 1 species